rnacentral:rRNA from 1 species
ACUCCUACGGGAGGCUGCAGUGGGGAAUAUUGCACAAUGGGCGAAAGCCUGAUGCAGCGACGCCGCGUGAGGGAUGACGGCCUUCGGGUUGUAAACCUCUUUCAGCAGGGAAGAAGCUUAAUCGUGACGGUACCUGCAGAAGAAGCACCGGCUAACUACGUGCCAGCAGCCGCGGUAAUACGUAGGGUGCGAGCGUUGUCCGGAAUUAUUGGGCGUAAAGGGCUUGUAGGCGGUUUGUCGCGUCUGCUGUGAAAACUCGGGGCUUAACCCCGAGCCUGCAGUGGGUACGGGCAGACUAGAGUAUGGUAGGGGAGACUGGAAUUCCUGGUGUAGCGGUGGAAUGCGCAGAUAUCAGGAGGAACACCGAUGGCGAAGGCAGGUCUCUGGGCCAUAACUGACGCUGAGAAGCGAAAGCAUGGGGAGCGAACAGGAUUAGAUACCCUGGUAGUCCAUGCCGUAAACGUUGGGCGCUAGGUGUGGGGCUCAUUCCACGAGUUCCGUGCCGCAGCUAACGCAUUAAGCGCCCCGCCUGGGGGAGUACGGCCGCAAGGCUAAAACUCAAAGGAAUUGACGGGGGCCCGCACAAGCGGCGGAGCAUGCUGA